rnacentral:misc_RNA from 1 species
AACAUAACAGAUCUUAGGUUUUUAAUAAAACAUUCAUUAAUGACCUCAACGUACAAUCAUAUCCUUUUCACAUGCCCGUUGACACGUUUUUCAACCCGCCCUGGAAGUUCAUGAGUUAGAUAAGCCUUUCCCGGUGGAGCUAAUAAUAGAGCUGCGACCAAGCGCUAAAGCCGGUUUUUUUUCUAAUGAAUGAACCAGGAGUUCUUCCCAGUGAAAACGAAUUGAGUUAGGAUUGCGCAAAAGGAAAGGAGACCCAGAAGUCAAGGCAAGAACUCCAGCUUUAUAACUCGGCUGCUUUAUCCGUCGAAACGAAAAUCUAUAAGAUAAGAAAAGGAGCUGGCUUUGAACUUCGUCUAGGCGUGGCCUUCAGCGACAGCAGUGUAGGCGUGGACCGACCAAGGCCUUCAGCGACUGCA